rnacentral:rRNA from 1 species
GACGAACGCUGGCGGCGUGCCUAAUACAUGCAAGUAGAACGCUGAAGGAGGAGCUUGCUUCUCUGGAUGAGUUGCGAACGGGUGAGUAACGCGUAGGUAACCUGCCUGGUAGCGGGGGAUAACUAUUGGAAACGAUAGCUAAUACCGCAUAAGAGUAGAUGUUGCAUGACAUUUGCUUAAAAGGUGCAAUUGCAUCACUACCAGAUGGACCUGCGUUGUAUUAGCUAGUUGGUGGGGUAACGGCUCACCAAGGCGACGAUACAUAGCCGACCUGAGAUGGGGAUCGGCCACACUGGGACUGAGACACGGCCCAGACUCCUACGGGAGGCAGCAGUAGGGAAUCUUGGGCAAUGGACGGAAGUCUGACCGAGCAACGCCGCGUGAGUGAAGAAGGUUUUCGGAUCGUAAAGCUCUGUUGUAAGAGAAGAACGAGUGUGAGCGUGGAAAGUUCACACUGUGACGGUAUCUUACCAGAAAGGGACGGCUAACUACGUG